rnacentral:rRNA from 1 species
CCUACGGGUGGCAGCAGUGAGGAAUAUUGGUCAAUGGACGAGAGUCUGAACCAGCCAAGUAGCGUGAAGGAUGACUGCCCUAUGGGUUGUAAACUUCUUUUAUAUGGGAAUAAAAUGUUCCACGUGUGGGAUUUUGUAUGUACCAUAUGAAUAAGGAUCGGCUAACUCCGUGCCAGCAGCCGCGGUAAUACGGAGGAUCCGAGCGUUAUCCGGAUUUAUUGGGUUUAAAGGGAGCGUAGGUGGAUUGUUAAGUCAGUUGUGAAAGUUUGCGGCUCAACCGUAAAAUUGCAGUUGAAACUGGCAGUCUUGAGUACAGUAGAGGUGGGCGGAAUUCGUGGUGUAGCGGUGAAAUGCUUAGAUAUCACGAAGAACACCGAUUGCGAAGGCAGUUCACUGGACUGCAACUGACACUGAGGCUCGAAAGUGUGGGUAUCAAACAGGAUUAGAUACCCUUGUAGUC